rfam:Trichobilharzia regenti genome assembly, scaffold: TRE_scaffold0020824
GCAUUGCUGAAGAGUCCCAAACUGGGAUGAAACAGUUGUCCAGUAC